AGAGUUUGAUCCUGGCUCAGAUUGAACGCUGGCGGCAGGCUUAACACAUGCAAGUCGAGCGGGGAAGGGUAGCUUGCUACCUAACCUAGCGGCGGACGGGUGAGUAAUGCUUAGGAAUCUGCCUAUUAGUGGGGGACAACAUUCCGAAAGGAAUGCUAAUACCGCAUACGCCCUACGGGGGAAAGCAGGGGAUCUUCGGACCUUGCGCUAAUAGAUGAGCCUAAGUCAGAUUAGCUAGUUGGUGGGGUAAAGGCCUACCAAGGCGACGAUCUGUAGCGGGUCUGAGAGGAUGAUCCGCCACACUGGGACUGAGACACGGCCCAGACUCCUACGGGAGGCAGCAGUGGGGAAUAUUGGACAAUGGGCGCAAGCCUGAUCCAGCCAUGCCGCGUGUGUGAAGAAGGCCUUUUGGUUGUAAAGCACUUUAAGCGAGGAGGAGGCUACUUGGAUUAAUACUCUAGGAUAGUGGACGUUACUCGCAGAAUAAGCACCGGCUAACUCUGUGCCAGCAGCCGCGGUAAUA
rnacentral:rRNA from 1 species